UCCAAAUGAUACUUCUUCUAACAUUGCUGCACAGUUGUCAACAGCGCAGCAAUGUUAGAAGAAGUAUCAUUUGGAA
rfam:Strigamia maritima strain Brora ctg7180001229968, whole genome shotgun sequence.